rnacentral:rRNA from 1 species
GACGAACCGUGCGAACGUUGUUCGGAUUCACUGGGCUUAAAGGGCGCGUAGGCGGCUUGCCAAGUCAGGGGUGAAAUCUUUCGGCUCAACCGGAAAAGUGCUUCUGAUACGGGCAGGCUAGAGUGUGGUAGGGGAGAUCGGAAUUCCUGGUGUAGCGGUGAAAUGCGCAGAUAUCAGGAGGAACACCGGUGGCGAAGGCGGAUCUCUGGGCCAUUACUGACGCUGAGGAGCGAAAGCGUGGGGAGCGAACAGG